rnacentral:rRNA from 1 species
UACGAGAGGCCCAAACGUUAUUCGGAAUUACUGGGCUUAAAGAGCUCGUAGGCGGUUCGAUAAGUCGGGUGUGAAACCUCCAGGCUCAACCUGGAGACGCCACCCGAUACUGUCGUGACUAGAGUCCAGUAGGGGAGCGUGGAAUUCCUGGUGUAGCGGUGAAAUGCGCAGAUAUCAGGAGGAACACCAGCGGCGAAGGCGGCGCUCUGGGCUGGCACUGACGCUGAGGAGCGAAAGCGUGGGGAGCGAACAGG